rnacentral:rRNA from 1 species
UUUUGGUGAGGUGCCUUCCGAGUUCCCUGGAACGGGACGCCAUAGAGGGUGAGAGCCCCGUCUGGUUGGACGCCGAACCUCUGUAAAGCUCCUUCGACGAGUCGAGUAGUUUGGGAAUGCUGCUCUAAAUGGGAGGUAUAUGUCUUCUAAAGCUAAAUACCGGCCAGAGACCGAUAGCGCACAAGUAGAGUGAUCGAAAGAUGAAAAGAACUUUGAAAAGAGAGUUAAACAGUACGUGAAAUUGUUGAAAGGGAAGCGCUUGUGACCAGACUUGGGCUUGGUUGAUCAUCCGGGGUUCUCCCCGGUGCACUCUUCCGGCCCAGGCCAGCAUCAGUUCGCCCUGGGGGACAAAGGCAUCGGGAACGUGGCUCUCUCCGGGGAGUGUUAUAGCCCGUUGCGUAAUACCCUGUGGCGG